rnacentral:rRNA from 1 species
UGGGGAAUAUUGCACAAUGGGCGCAAGCCUGAUGCAGCCAUGCCGCGUGUAUGAAGAAGGCCUUCGGGUUGUAAAGUACUUUCAGCGGGGAGGAAGGCGAUAAGGUUAAUAACCUUGUCGAUUGACGUUACCCGCAGAAGAAGCACCGGCUAACUCCGUGCCAGCAGCCGCGGUAAUACGGAGGGUGCAAGCGUUAAUCGGAAUUACUGGGCGUAAAGCGCACGCAGGCGGUCUGUCAAGUCGGAUGUGAAAUCCCCGGGCUCAACCUGGGAACUGCGUUCGAAACUGGCAGGCUAGAGUCUUGUAGAGGGGGGUAGAAUUCCAGGUGUAGCGGUGAAAUGCGUAGAGAUCUGGAGGAAUACCGGUGGCGAAGGCGGCCCCCUGGACAAAGACUGACGCUCAGGUGCGAAAGCGUGGGGAGCAAACA